rnacentral:lncRNA from 1 species
AGAAUUAUGAUUACUACUAUUCAUGUGCUAUAAUAUAAACAAAAUAUAAUUAAAAUCUAUGUACUACUACUCAGAAUUAUGAUUACUAUUCAUAUGCUAUAAUUUAACUCUUCAUUCUAAAAUAUAAUCAAAAUUUAUGUACUAUAAUAUGACCAAAAUAUUAUAAUUAUGACUAUCCACCUGCUACUUACCUAGAACGUAAACCAAUUAACUCAGAAUUUUGAACAAAUACAAGAAAAUAGGCUUUAACUUUGAGGUUUUGACGGAGUAGGAGCUCACAUUAAGUCCAGCUUAUGCAGUGUUGAUAAAUUAAUAAUAUUUACAAAGCUGUAUCAAUCCAAGAUUAUUAUACAAGCUGAACAGAACAAUAAUAUAUUAGUUCAAAAUCAAUGUAAUAGUCCAAUUCAAAUUACUAUGCAAAAUUAAUUUAUCAUUCCAAUUAAUAUACUGUAACUAAUAGCUGCCAGAAUUAAUAUAAUAAUCCAAAGUUAACCUUAUCAGUUCAACAUUCUCAUAAUCCAAUACCUUAAAACCGAAUCGGAAUACUAACACGCACAUAAAUGAAAACAAUGCUGCAAGAUUAUAAUACCAACCCAAGAUUAAGUUUUGCAAAAUCGAAUUAGGCCCUUGUAUACAAACACUUUAAGUACACCAUUCUCUAGCAGACCAAGAGGGAAAUCCGACCAAAAAGACAGUAACUCUUCAUUGUGAAGUACCAAUAUCAGAAAUAGAAAAGUUUAUGAAGUAGCAAACAAAAUAGCAGCAGGGAAAUCUGGUACACUAGAAACAAAUGAACAAAUCUGUCAUCGUGCUAAAAUAAUAAAAAACAACAUAAGUCCAUCCGCUCAUAAUAACGGGACCUGAUCGUACCGGACCUGCACACCAACAGCGGCAUCCGACUGUUCGCAACUCUAACGCGACAUCAAUAUACACCGAUGAAACGCCCGGCAGAAACAAAACUUCGGUUACACACGCAUACGCAGGGAUUCCGUCAAUUCUUCGGAUUUACUGGCUCAUUUCUUGGCGGAGAGAUCGCCAGAAAACGAACAGCGCGCAACGGAGCAGGUUGGAGGGUCGGCGACGGCAAAGGCACCGUUGGGAGGAAGGAGGCGGUUUUGGAUUUUUGACGGUGGUUUGAACAAGGUGGAUGAAGGUUAUGGUGGAAGGCGGUGUUGAUGGACGGUGAAGGAUGAGGGAAUGAAGGGUUUUUCUGAGAGGGAGAAAAGAGAGAAAUGUGAGUGAUGAGUGUUUGUGUGGAGGUGCGUUGGAGAUGAAGAGGAAAAGUCCUCUCCUUGUUUUCUUUCUUUUUUCCGUUUUUUGUACAGAGAGAGUGUAGAGAGUCUGUUAGUUAAAAAGUGGGAAUGGGGUGCCCUUAAUAAUGAGUGGAAGAGAGAGUAUAUGAGUGAGAAAACG